GUGUUUAUGACCUGGAUGUUGAGUGGCUUUUAAACCUUCUACAUAAGCACCAUUUCCGGCCUCUUUGAGUCCCAGGUGACGAUCUCCUUUUAUUUUCAGAUUCUUACUGAGGUGCUGUUUUCCACAUGCAGUGCUUGGCUGUGUUGGAGGCCACCAAGAAAGACUUCCUGGCUGUCAUGUGGAAGCUAAGUGGGCUGGGGUCAAAAGGGUUUCUGGCCAUGGUGCUUGUGCUGCAGUGAUCUUGUUCUCCAUCACACUCCAACACAGGUAGCCAUCUUCACCCUCUCCCAAGAGGUGAUGGUACGACUCUGAAUAAACACUCUAUUAUUAUAAAUAAAGUGUGACUGUGUCUUGUAGUCCACCCACCAACCUUUUUCUGUUCAGUGGUUUGACUUGUGCUACACAGAGGUGAGUCCAGUUAUGCUGCAAGAAGUGUAAGUAUGAUGGGGUUGACGAGUAGGAGGAGAGGUUCUUCCUGUGCAAGGUGCUGCUCUCUCUUCUUUCAGCAUAGCUCCUGGUCUCAGAACAGGUUUAGUUCAUCGUUGCUGGUGUUGUGUAGAGGAUGUUAUAUUGUGAAAGUCACAACUAUCCCUGCUCAAGGUCUUGUGAAAUAUUUGACCUUAUUUGUGACUAUAUUCACCGUGAUGCUUUCAGCAGUUACUACAUUAGUGUCCUUAAUUUUUUACUAUUUAAAGAUUGUUUUAAAGUUUAUUACAGGCUCAAUGAAUGUUCUUCUCCUUCACUAGAAGAUAAAGGCCCAGUUUCACAGACAGGGUUUACAUUAAGCCAGGAUUAGAUCUUCGAUCAAUUAGGACAUUUCAGUAGCUUUUAUAAACGUGUCUUAGAAAAAAAUAUUUCUGGUGCACAUCCUGAGAUAAAACAAUGGCACUGACGUGUUUUAAGAUCCAU
ensembl:lncRNA